rnacentral:rRNA from 1 species
CCUUGGGGAUUUUCCGCAAUGGGCGAAAGCCUGACGGAGCAACGCCGCGUGAGGGAUGAAGGCCUCUGGGCUGUAAACCUCUUUUAUCAAGGAAGAAGAUCUGACGGUACUUGAUGAAUAAGCCACGGCUAAUUCCGUGCCAGCAGCCGCGGUAAUACGGGAGUGGCAAGCGUUAUCCGGAAUUAUUGGGCGUAAAGCGUCCGCAGGCGGUCCAGAAAGUCUGCUGUUAAAAAGUGGAGCUUAACUCCAUCAUGGCAGUGGAAACUUCUGGACUAGAGUGUGGUAGGGGCAGAGGGAAUUCCCGGUGUAGCGGUGAAAUGCGUAGAUAUCGGGAAGAACACCAGUGGCGAAGGCGCUCUGCUGGGCCAUAACUGACGCUCAUGGACGAAAGCCAGGGGAGCGAAAGGGAUUAGAUACCCCUGUAGUC